rnacentral:snoRNA from 1 species
UCCCUCCAGAUCCCUCGCCCAUCAGAUCUAUGCACCGGUCUGAGAGGCUGUGAGGGGAGGAAAAGCAAAGCUGAAACAGACUGGGAUUCUUCUGUGACACAUACGUUUGCUUCAUUAAAGA